CAGGCUGCCCGGGGAGGUGGUUGAGUCACCACCCAUGGAGAUGUUCAAUAAACAUUUAGAUGUUUUACUGAGUGAUGUGGUUUGGUGGGGAAAUACUGGUGGUAGGUGAAUGUUUGGACUACAUGAUUAUGGAGGUUUUGUCCAACUUUGGUGAUUCUGUGAUUUUAUGAUUGUAUGAAAAAAGGAAUCAUUAUGACUAAUGAAAACAGUAUAACGGUGGACAUUCUUUUGGGAUUAUUAUUUUCUGUUUUAAUAGCAAUUCUAAUUCUAUGUUAUUUGGGGCCUUGACAGCCUUCGAUCCUACUUUUUUGAUCAUUUUUCAGCUCUAACCUUGCAAACUGCAGUUUAAGUUUUUAUCGAACACUUACCUUCCUAAUAUGAUAUGUAAAAGUUAUUUCCUAUUUUAUGAAUACCGUCAUAGAAAGAAAGAAAGAAAGAAACUAGUGAGGAAGGUAGAAAGGAAAGCAUUGCAAAAUUGUAUGGGUUAGAAGAGAUCUCUGAAAAUCAUCGCGUCCAACCCCCUGCAAAAGAAGUCUCCCUGGGGAAGGUUGUACAUAAAAGUGUCCAGGUAGGUUUUGAAUAUCUCUGGAGAAGGAUACUCCACAGCCUCUCUUGGCAGCCUCUUCCAGUGUUCUGUCACCCUCAAAGUAAAGAAUUUAUUUCUUAUGUUCAGGUGGAACUUUUUCUGUGUUCCUUUUUGUGCUCACUGCCCUUUAUCCUCUUGCUGAACAUGACCAAUAAGAGCCUGGCCCCAUCCUCUUAACACUCACCCUUUUGAUAUUUUUAAGCGUUUCUAAGAUCUUCUCUCAGUCUUCUCUUUUUCUAAGGAAGGAAGGCAGAAGAUGGAAGAAAGGGAGGAAGGGACAGGGUAAGAGUAGAAGUGAGGGAAGAAAAAAAUAACUUUUAUGUUAAUUGACAGCAAAGGCAACCUCAUAGAUUAGAGUGGACAGUAGAUAAAAGAAAAAAGCUUUUAACUAAAAGAAUUGGAAAUAAAAGAUUUCCCAAAGGUUUUAUGUGAAAUUAUUCUAAAGAUGAUAAGUUUUAUGCUAAACAUUUGAAUUUUGGAAGGCUAAUUCAUAAUGAGAAUAUAUAUAUACAUAUUUAUGUAUAUAUAUGUAGAUUUUAAAUUUAUUUUUUUACCAGCAUGGAGAGAGAAUAGAAUAUACUACACACACACACACAAAAGUGUAAAUAAACUGAUAAUGUGCAUCAGCUGUGUUACUUUUUCAAGGAAAGGUGAAAUUUGUGUAAGAACUUAAUAUUGAAGAAUUAAGCAGACUAGUGCUAAUAGGCAAAAAUGUAUUAUGGUAGACCAGUUGUUUUAAUAUUCUAACGUCAAAACAUUAAAUGAUGUUUUUCUUUCAUUCUUUUUGGAAGGUGGUAAUUCUUCAAAAUUCAUAUCACACUUCUGCGAUGUUCAGUUUUACAUUUAUUUGGGAGUUCAUCUUUCCAUCAUUGUAACUUGGAAUCAUGAACAUCUUUAAAUCUGUACAUCAUAGAAUAUUUUCUCUUCUACCCUACUAAACAUCAGCAUGUUUACAGAGCAUUAAAAAUCCUUUGAUUUCCAAUGUCACUCCUCAAAUACAAGCAGACAAGUUAUUGUUAUGAUAUAAUUUUCUUUUUGGCAAAAAAUACUCGGUAUCACACACUGUUGAAAAACAACUUAAACACAACCAACAUUUUUUGUGCUAGUUUUUCUAAGUCGUGAGAUUUGUAUUAGAUAUGAUAGAAGGCAACUGUUGGUGAUUUUCCUUUUUAUAUUUUGAGUAGUGUUGUUCAACAGAUUAUGUUGUUUUUUGUAGCUAUUCAUCAGUGAAGAUAAGUGGAAAAAAAAUCUUAGGUAUAAUUUUUCUGUUAUGAUGUUAUAUAUGAUCAAUGGUGUCCUUAUGUUUGUAGUUUCUUUCCCUUCUUUAUUUUUUGUAUUUCUGUAGUCUAAAUUUCAGACAGUAAAAUAACAUCCUAAUUUAUAUGUCUACAUUUGGCAAGUUCUCAAUAACUUGCAAAUAAAUGUUCGUCUCGUCUGUUCUGACUGACAGCCCAGAAAUAGCCUUUUAAAUUGUGUCAGAUUCUUGUAUCUCUGUUUGAAAGGUAAAGUUAAACAGUUUUCAUGGCAAUGUGAAUGAAGUUGAAUCAGCUGUUUUGGUGACUGUAGUAAACUUUUGUCUAUAAGAUUGUGCAUGAUUUUAUCUCUGAACACUAAUAGCUGACUGAAAACUGUUGCAGAUGUCCAUUUACUUUUGGGCUUUUGAUAGUUCAAAGUAAUUUAUUUACCAAAAUAGACCUAUUCUCACUAUUCUCUUAUUACAUAUUUAGACAUUAUUUUGCCUUUUCUCCACUGUGGAAUGAAUGAAAAUGUUCCAUCAUCACAAACAUCAGUAAGGUUUUCUAGAAAAGUAAAAAGUAGUGGAUUCAAAAACCCUAUGGAGAGAAAUAUGAUUUCAUCAGCUGACAUAUAUUUAUCCAAUAUUUCAAUCAAGAAAUAUUGUAUUUGUAUUACAGUAUCUUUCUAUGUUUCCAGUAAAGAUUGAAUCUCUGUCAUGCCUUGCAUUCUACAUGCUCAUGAAAUGACUUUGUACUUGCUACAAAGACUUUACAACAAAAGCUACUAGAGAAAAUGCAGCUAUUUAUCUACCAACCUAACAUACUCACUGCACAUAAACACUCGGUUUCAUGGCCCAGAAAGUAUAAUAUAUCACCAGAAUUGGUGUAUUAAGCUGUUUUUUUGCUUCUACUCGUUAUUGAGUUGCUCCUGUGCAACAUGCUAUUGCAGUACUAAUAACAGAAUGCCAAAAUAAUAUGAACAACUUAACAUAAAAGUAAGUAAAUCCACAAACUAAGAAAUUAAAUUCAUAAUGAACUUUAAACAUUUGAUUUAAAUAAAUGUAAAUAUACUUUGUGACCCAAUGAUUUUUGAUUUAUCGGAAAAUCUGUUGGCCCUUUUUUCUGCCAGAAAAUCUGCAAUAUUUUUUUUUCACUAUUAUUUUUAUUAAAUAUUUAAAGAUCAUAAUACAUAUGAAGAUUUUUUCUUUUUUAAUAUUUUUUAAAGUUUUUUUUUCAGAUCACCCACAUUUAAAAGGAACCCUGUUGUAUCCCUUCGGUAUACUUUCAGAGCAACUGCCACUUUAAUAUGUUCCUUUCAAAAUCUACAAAGAAAAUAUCUUUCACAUACUCAAUACAAAAUGUAACCGAGUAGUACAAAAUCUCACAUGUGAAAAUCAGUUUGUUAAAACUUCCAUGUGAAUAUGUACUUAAACAUAGAGUCAACCUGGGCAUAGAUAAAGAUCUUUUACGAAUUUGGACUGUGAAUAACAAAAUACCUUACUUUCAUUGCAGUUGACAAGGCAUUCUGAUUUAACUGUAGUUUUUCACUUGAAACAUCCAUUUUCUCUGUAUUUUGUAUUUUGUAUCUAUAUUUCUCACUAUAGCCAGUGAGCCUGAGGAUGUCUCAUGAUCUCUUAAAGGAGCUGAUUCUAAAAUACAGUAUACAGUUAGAUUCCAUAGCAUUUUCAAGCUUAAAAAUCAGGAUGAGCUAUUUUCAGUGCUGAUAUCAGCUUGAAUCAUGGUAAGUUUGAAGUCAGAGUGUGCUUGAAAGUAACCAUACAGUGAAAUACACUGAUUCAGGGCAAAUUUACAAAGCUAUAUAAAGAAUCUACAGAGCAAGGAUGAUAUCAAUAAUUGGAGAUGAAAAUAAGCUUCUAGUAAAUAUAUGAUCAGAGAGGUUAAAUUUGCUGAUCUAUGACUGUAAAAUCUGUGCAAUCUGAUCACUGCACAGAAGUUGUCAUCAAUUUCAAUAUCUUUGAAAUAUUUUGGUAUUAAAAUACUGGAAAUAUAUUUCCUACUUAGUUUUACUGUGUAUGGCAUAAAGUACAAAAGGAACAGAGAAGCCUACCAGUAACAUUAAAAUUGUUUUCUAUGUCUGCAUAAGCUUGGGAUUAUCUAGGUUCUUCUUGGUUUUGUUUGCUAUCAGAAGGUGGUGUUUUGUAGAGGCACUUUCUUGGAAUAUGUUUUAUUUUAUGCAUUUGUAUGGAGAGAGAGAAAUAUAUUGUCAUAAAUCACAGCAAGACUUUCAGCAUUAAAGCUGAAGACAUGACUUUUAGAAGCCUUUGAACUCCAAUUUACAUAAAAUAUUUAAUGAAAUGCCUUCUAAAGCAAGAAUGCUAUUCUGGAGAAUAUAGAAAUUUGUUAAGCAAAAAAAAAAAAAAAAAAAAUAGGAGUUAUUCAAGCAUUUUACAGUUAGUCUGUAAAAUCCUUAUCCUUCACCAAUAGAGGUGUCUUUCCUUCACCUGGCAGGAAUGAAAUAGUGCUUAAUUUAUACAGACCACAAGGUAAAUGUGUCUCAUUUCAGUGACAAGUUGAAAAUGGAAACAACAGACUGAAUUUCUGUUAUAAAUUCUUCUGGCAAUCAGCUGGAAUUAAAUGUUACCCCUAAAAUGUGUCGCAAAGCUUGUAGUAAACUUGACAGUGUGAGUUCCUGGAACACAUCUUCUAAAAUAUCUAGGAAAUUAGAAAACCUACUGAUGACAUUUCCUGAUUGUAAUGUAGUGUACAUUGUAGUGUACACUACAUUAGUGUAGUGUAGUGUAGUGUAGUACAUCUAGUGUAAUUAGCAAGAACGGUUGAGGAUUUUAAGGGAGGUGAACAAAUUGAACUCUUGUAUCUCACAGGGAGCACAACAAAUUCAAGUGUUUACUUCUCAAUUGCAAUGACUUUAUAGGUUGGUUUCUGCAUCUUGGGAGAAACUGAGAUGCUUCAGCUCUGAUUCCCUUACUGUUUUGAAUGAGAAGACUUACUGGAGGUACUGAGUUCAUGACUUGAGAGAAAAACCUGGAUAGAACACAUUCAUUUCAUGUGUAUUAACAAUAAUUGAAGAGAGAACAUAGAUUUUUUCAAUUGUGAUAGACCAGUUGACCAUGAAAGUGAGCUGCAGAACUAUUUGCUAAAUUUUGAAUGCAUUUUUGCCAUACAUGAACUGUGCUUUGAUAGAAAUUCUAUAUUUGUUCUGUAGGAUUGUAUCAACUGAGUUUUUAAACAUCUCAGGCUUUGAUUCAUCAUCAGCCAUAUGUUUAUAAAAUUAGUAAUUGCUUAUAGAUGUUAGGCUUUAAAACAGUCCUGCAGAAGUCUACAGUACUCCUUGCAAAUGCUACAGGAUGCUAUAGUUUCAUUUAAAUAUCUCCUUAUUGUGUUCAUUUCUGAGUGUUAAAUUCACAAAAUGUACUCUGUGCUUGAAUAUAUCCAAACAACUUUUUUCUAUAUUUUAUUAUGUUUUGCAUUUUUCCCAAGAUGUAAUACUAAUUUGGAGUGAAGAUGAAGCAAAUUAAGAAAUAAUUGUAGAAAUCCUAGAAUGAGACUUAAGAAUUUUAAAAUUCUGUGUCUAUAUGAUCAUCAUUUACACCAAAAUGAAGUUUGUCUGCUUAGUAUUUGGCAUACUUUAAUAUAAAUAAAGAAAUAGAACCCA